AUGUGGGAGGAAUGCUUGCCUCAUAUUGAAUUUGCUUAUAAUCGUUCAUUGCAUUCUACUACUAAGAUGUGCCCUUUUGAAGUUGUGUAUGGUUUCCUACCUCGUGCACCUAUUGAUUUGUUGCCUCUUCCAUCUUCGGAGAAGAUUAAUUUUGAUGCUAAACAACGUGCUGAAUUGAUUUUAAAAAUGCAUGAGUUAACUAAGGAAAACAUUGAGCGCAUGAAUGCUAAAUAUAAACUUGCUGGAGAUAAGGGUAGAAAACAUGUUGUGUUUGCACCUGGAGAUCUUGUUUGGUUACAUUUGCGUAAGGAUAGAUUUCCUGAUUUGCGCAAAUCAAAGUUAAUGCCACGUGCUGAUGGUCCCUUUAAGGUGUUAGAGAAAAUAAAUGAUAAUGCAUAUAAACUUGAGUUGCCUGCAAAUUUUGGGGUUAGUCCCACUUUUAACAUUGCAGAUUUGAAGCCUUAUUUGGGUGAGGAAGAUGAACUUCCGUCGAGGACGACUUCAUUUCAAGAAGGGGAGGAUGAUGAGGACAUCAAUACAAUUGUUACACCCACAUCCCCUGCUGCUAUACAUACUGGACCAAUUACUAGAGCUCGUGCACGCCAACUAAAUUACCAGGAAACAGACCCUCGUGGUCAGGUUGACCGUGCUCCGGCGUGGUCAAUAACCUCUCGGAGUUGGUUUAGCGAUUGCUAA
rnacentral:rRNA from 1 species